UACGUAGGGUGCAAGCGUUGUCCGGAAUUAUUGGGCGUAAAGAGCUCGUAGGCGGUUCGUCGCGUCGGCUGUGAAAACCCGGAGCUCAACUCCGGGCCUGCAGUCGAUACGGGCGGACUUGAGUUCGGUAGGGGAGACUGGAAUUCCUGGUGUAGCGGUGAAAUGCGCAGAUAUCAGGAGGAACACCGGUGGCGAAGGCGGGUCUCUGGGCCGAUACUGACGCUGAGGAGCGAAAGCGUGGGGAGCGAACAGG
rnacentral:rRNA from 1 species